rnacentral:lncRNA from 1 species
AUGCCCUCAUCCCCUUUGGGACACAUGGAGGCAGCUUGGCCCAUUGCGUGCGGGAUGCUGGAGAACAGGACCACCUCCCAAAUGCUAUCUAUUUCCUGCUGGGAACCUGGCUGGGCCAAGGGCAGGAUUGCAGAGAGCCCCUGUGGUUUCCCUGUUGGGCCCUGCAGCUGGCCACUCUGCACGUCAGCUUUGGUGGCUCCCACGUGGAGGGCCAUGCCUACAUUCUGCCAGGCCACCUGGAGCAUCUCAAGGCCAUUGAGGCCGAACGGAAAGAGUCAGCUCCAAAGCUCCUGCCACUUCCAGAGCCAGAGCCAGUGCCAGCCCCCGGGCUGGAGCCAGCUGCACCUCCAGUCUCACCANUCUGAGAGUCAGACAGUCACACUUGACAUCAUUCACAGGUCCCAUCUACCCUCCAUCCCGGGCAAUGCCCUCAUCCCCUUUGGGACACAUGGAGGCAGCUUGGCCCAUUGCGUGCGGGAUGCUGGAGGACAGGACCACCUCCCAAAGUGAGUGGUCUUUGGGUCGAGAAGAAGGGCCUCCUGUCUCUAGCAAACAGGGUGCAGGGCAAGGAUGGAGGCUGUGGCCGCGUCAGGCCUGGGAGAACCCUGCAUCUCACCCAUCUUGUGAUUCCCAUGGGUGGGCUCAGUUCUGGUGGCUUCCACUCCAGCAGGACUGGACUCAAAGAGAGCUGUGCAUGGGUCCCAGGCACCUUGAGAAUUGGAAGGGAGGCUGGGCUGUGUUGUCCCCUAGAGACCCACUCCCAGCAGAGUCCCAGCUCCUUGUGCCUCCCUUUAUCCACAUCCACCACUUGUGAGCGCCACCAGCAGGUCCAUAGUAGGAGGUGCGUGAGCAAGCUGCUCACAGAUCUGCUGGAGUCUUCAUUCCAGUGGCCCACAUACAUGGAGGGCUAGAGUGGGCUGUGUCCAGACCCUUGGGGAGGAGAGUGUCGGUGGGAACAAGAGACUCUCACAGACUCUGUGUUCAGCCUGCUGGAUGAGCAGACCUGCCACAGCCAGGUCAGCCAGCCGGGGCUCAGGGCUGGGAUGGGGCCCCCCUCUGGAGGGGGAGGGUCUGGCACAGGGGCGCAGAUGCUAACAAGAGUGCCUUGGGAGGCCGGUGUUUAAGGAAAAGCCAGGCCACUGACUCUCUGGCCCAUCUGCCUCCACGCAGUGCUAUCUAUUUCCUGCUGGGAACCUGGCUGGGCCAAGGGCAGGAUUGCAG